ACGUAGGUGGCGAGCGUUGUCCGGAUUUACUGGGUUUAAAGGGUGCGUAGGUGGGUCUGUAAGUCAGUGGUGAAAUCUUCAAGCUUAACUUGGAAACUGCCGUUGAUACUAUAGGUCUUGAAUUAUCUGGAGGUGAGCGGAAUAUGUCAUGUAGCGGUGAAAUGCUUAGAUAUGACAUAGAACACCAAUUGCGAAGGCAGCUCACUACGGAUGUAUUGACACUGAGGCACGAAAGCGUGGGGAUCAAACAGGA
rnacentral:rRNA from 1 species